CACUGCACGACAGUGCGAUAAGGGAAUCCCAAGUGCGCAGGCAUAGAGCCUGCGCUUUUGUCCACCGUAGGGAGGUGGACGAAUAAGGGCUGGGCAAGACCGGUGCCAGCCGCCGCGGUAAUACCGGCAGCCCGAGUGAUGGCCGAUCUUAUUGGGCCUAAAGCGUCCGUAGCUGGCCGCACAAGUCUAUCGGAAAAUCCACCCGCUCAACGGGUGGGCGUCCGGUAGAAACUGUGUGGCUUGGGACCGGAAGGCGCGACGGGUACGUCCGGGGUAGGAGUGAAAUCCCGUAAUCCUGGACGGACCGCCGAUGGCGAAAGCACGUCGCGAAGACGGAUCCGACAGUGAGGGACGAAAGCUAGGGUCUCGAACCGGAUUAGAUACCCGGGUAGUCCUAGCCGUAAACAAUGCCUGCUAGGUGUGGCUCCCACUACGAGUGGGUGCUGUGCCGUAGGGAAGCCGCUAAGCAGGCCGCCUGGGAAGUACGUCCGCAAGGAUGAAACUUAAAGGAAUUGGCGGGGGAGCACUACAACCGGAGGAGCCUGCGGUUUAAUUGGACUCAACGCCGGACAUCUCACCAGCAUCGACUGUAGUAAUGACGAUCAGGUUGAUGACCUUAUCCGAGCUUCAGAGAGGAGGUGCAUGGCCGCCGUCAGCUCGUACCGUGAGGCGUCCUGUUAAGUCAGGCAACGAGCGAGACCCGCAUCCUUACUUGCCAGCAGCACUGCGAAGUGGCUGGGGACAGUAGGGAGACCGCCGUGGCCAACACGGAGGAAGGAACGGGCAACGGUAGGUCAGUAUGCCCCGAAUGUGCUGGGCAACACGCGGGCUACAAUGGUCGAGACAAAGGGUUCCUACUCCGAAAGGAGACGGUAAUCUCAGAAACUCGAUCGUAGUUCGGAUUGUGGGCUGCAACUCGCCCACAUGAAGCUGGAUUCGGUAGUAAUCGCGUGUCAUAAGCGCGCGGUGAAUACGU
rnacentral:rRNA from 1 species